AGGCUUCCCUGGUCCGUGCUCUGGCUCUGUCCUAAGGCCGUGCGACAAAAACACGGGCUCCUCCUGCCGCUCCAACUGCAGUCUCUCUUCCCUAGCUCGGCCCCUCCUGCUUCCUGGUGACCUCCACGGGCGUGACUCCAGUCCAGGGCACGCCUGGGCAUCAACAUGACUCUGCUUCUAUCAACUGUCUGAAGCGUCUCCAAAAUGUAUGCCAUGCAGAGGACGCACUGCGGUGUAAUGGCAGGUGACACGCUUGUGGUCCCUGCUCUGCUCCGACCCACCGUGUGAAUUAUAACGUGCGCAUUUCGCCGUCUGAGAUAUAAAAUGAGGCGGCUGGCACCUGACGCCCUCUAAGUCUUCUGUCCCCCCCAGGACUCUGUGACUCCAGCCUUGUGUGACUGCAUCGAAUAGGCUGAGGAAGAAAUAAUAACUGGAAAACGGCCUGAGAAAAGGGGAGGGCAACUGAGCCGCUGCCUACGUACACCUGUCCGCAGCCAGAAGCCUGUACGCGUCUUUUAGGAGGAUGGGGGUCUUGUCCAGGGAGAGAGGCAGGGGACAGAGGGGACUGCGGAGCACAGAGCCGAGAUGGAGCCGGCCGUGCCAGGCAGCGGGGGCGGAGGACGACAACGACAGAGGGACGGCACGCGAGUCCUGGGCUUUUCAGGAGGGAGACGUCUGAUGAAGGCUGUCGUCCCCAAGAACCUAGAAAUACGGCUCGCUCACCUGAAUCUUCCGUGCGUGAGAGGAAAGGACUUCACGCCUGCCUUUACCAAGAAGAAAUCAGGCCUGCAAUGAACAUACCUGAGAUGAAAAUGACACCACGUGGCUAAUCUUCACAGGAGCCAUGGCGGG